rnacentral:tRNA from 1 species
AAAAAGAUAAGCUAAAUUUAAUCAAGCUAUUAGGUUCAUACCCUAAAUAUAGGUUUAUCCUUCUUUUUA